rnacentral:rRNA from 1 species
UACGUAGGGGGCAAGCGUUGUCCGGAUUUAUUGGGCGUAAAGAGCGUGUAGGCGGCCAUACAGGUCCGUUGUGAAAACUCGAGGCUCAACCUCGAGACGUCGAUGGAAACCGUAUGGCUAGAGUCCGGAAGAGGAGAGUGGAAUUCCUGGUGUAGCGGUGAAAUGCGCAGAUAUCAGGAAGAACACCCGUGGCGAAGGCGGGUCUCUGGGCCGAAACUGACGCUGAGGAGCGAAAGCGUGGGGAGCGAACAGG